UUCAUGCGAAGACUCACCUCCAGGGUGGUGAGGAGGGUGGGCAGAAUGGGGAGCCUGCGGGUCACCUGCAACCACGAGUCACCAUCCUCAUCUACUUCACACAGCUCCUUGGCCAGAUGCAAGCCCAGGACACACACCUGCUGGAACCCAGGAGCAAAGAUGAGUAGAAGAGGGAGGAAGCAGUCCAGGGGAAGGAAGAAGAGGAGGAUGAUAGCCAGCCAUGGGCCUGGACGCUCAAGACCUGUCUGGUCACACACCUCCAAUGGCACAUCCUGGACACACGCCUUUCUUCCCUGGCAGCAAGUUCACUGGGGUGGAGCAGAGUGGGAGAAGCCAGUGCUGGCAUAGCAGCGGCAGAUCCCUGCUGACACACCGCCGCCUCCGGGGCCCCCCAGGCCCAUGUGAGCCCUCUGACCUGACCACCGUGCGGCCAGCCGCAGACACACGAGCUCUGCUAUUUGACUUUGGCGACUCUCUCCCUGGGAGGAAUGGGAAACCUUCCAGACACACUUACUAACGCUUUGGUCCCAUCAAGUACAUCAAGAAAGAGCUGUCGACGCACUACAGAGUCGGUCAGGUGCAUUAUAUCUGCCUGCAAAGAAUAGAAAAAGAUUUCAGCUGGGAAAAUUUCCCAGACUUUAGACCCAAGAAAUGUGGGGUCUUCCAUCAGAACCCUUCAAAGGCUUGCCAGUGCCCGGGAAAUGCAAACCAAACUCUUCAACAUGACCUGGAGGACCCACAAGAUCUGGUCCUACUGAUUCUGGUAUUACCCCCACUGUGCCCACUCCAGUCCAGCCCUACUUGCCUCCUGCCUCCUUCUUGGACACACCAAGCUCCAUUUCUGCACCUUGGUACCUGCGAGCCCCUCUGCCCAGACCGCUCCUCCACAGGCGUUCUACCUGGUAGGCUUCUUCACACACUCAGGUCUCAGCUGGGACAUCACCUUCUCAGAGUGGGCCUCCCUGACUACUUCUGUCACAUGUUCACUACCAUAGCACCUUAUUUCCUUCACAGUCAUCACUAUCUGAAACCACAUUUUUUAUUGGCAAAUUUGUUUACAAUUUACCUCCCUCAUGGACCACCCUCUACGAGAUUGAAUAUCUUAUCUGCCUUACUCACUGCCGUAUCCUGAUGCCUGGCACAUGGUAAGCAUUCCACUACUAGCCAUUAACUGAACGAACGAAUGAAUGAAUGAUCAACAUCCUGGACUUAGCCAGACAGGUCUCCUAAGGGGAAAGAGGAUGGUGGGAUUUUCAGAGCUACAACUCAAGAACUGCUUCCUAACUGGGGCCUAAAAGGCAAGUGAUGCAGAGGUUGUACCCUGGGGAAUCAACCACUCCCAAAGAUGGCUGAGCCUUUCAGUGUGUCUGGGGUCUUAGGGGUCCAUAGCCACUGUGCCAUGGCAAGAGUGUUUAUACACCCACUCUUUCUAGGCUCAAAGUUCCAAGCAUGUUGGCAGUCUGGAACUAGGGAACAAAUUUCACAGAAGAUAUAAGAGAUGCUUGGAACAAGGAGACAUCCAUCAAGCUGAAGUUGUUAAUGAAGUCAAGAUAUUUGUCUGUAUACCCUAGGGGAAAAGCAUUCACCACCAACUCCUUAUGAUACAGCUUGAUGGCAUCAAACCACAAAAAGUGCCACAAACAAUGCAAACUCUCUCUUUCAAAUCCAACUCUGAAUAGCAUGCAAUGCAAAGGCAAUGGCCUCUGUUUUUUCUAAGACCAGGAAAUGUGGUUUCUAGAACCAAUGAAAAUAAACUGUUCUUUAGACGGGGUGCUGCUACAGCUAUCAGAGCUACCUGCUGACAAGUCUACAAAUAUUUACCUAGUAUCUACAGGGCACACAGCACAAGAAGGCAAUUUAUACACUUGCACAAGAGGUAGAUACAGGAAGGGAACACCUUAGACUUAGUCAAGGCCCAAAGGGAGCUACACAAGGCUUUAAGAAUGUCUGAAAGGAUUUCAAAUCACUUCUCUACAUUCUUCUUAAGAGUCCCUUGGAUCCAACACCGUCAGACACUCCACAUUUGCCCCAAUCUCUUAGCACACAAUCUGUUAAUUUUAGCUCUCAGGGAUAAAUCCAUCCUGAUUCGUUUUUCACCCCAAGGACCUGUAUCUGCCAGGCCUCUCAAAGGGUCAUUGUUAAGACAUCAAAGGGAACACUUGCCCCAGGAAGUUCUUACGUGACUGGUGGCAAUGAUGAGAAGCAUCCUCCAGGCGGAGACCAGCAUCUGAUAUUCUACCAAGGAGGUACAGCUGCUGCCCUCUGUUUCAGCUGUGUGAACUGCCAAGGACUUGACAUACCCUGACCAGUAGGCAAAGCGUUUCUCGCUGGAAAAUUUCUUGAGUGUAUCUUUUAACGACUUGUCUAACGAACCCCUAA